rnacentral:rRNA from 1 species
UGCAUCACCCGUCUUGUAUGGGUUAGAUAUGUACCCGAUCAACAACGGUUUCAUUUGGGAUACCUUUGGGACCCGUCUUGAAACACGGACCAAGGAGUCUAUCUAGUAUGCGAGUAAAUGGGNUANUANUUUAUNNNAAACCUAUUUGCGUAAAUAACUUGACUGUUUUAAUGGGAUUACGUGUACAUUUACUUUUAGUGUGUGCGCCUCCAUCCCGGGGUAUUUUCAUCACAUAUAUGGGCAACUAUAUAUAGAAAAUAUACCAUGAGCAUACUGGACAUGACCCGAAAGAUGGUGAACUAUGCCUGAUCAGGUUGAAGUCAGGGGAAACCCUGAUGGAGGACCGAAGCAAUUCUGACGUGCAAAUCGAUUGUCAGA